CGCUCUGCGCCGGGUUCUCGUGGGUUCUCUUUCCCUCCUGCAUCAUUUGGGGUUUUUGCACUGACACCGAGAGCGUCUGAUGGAUUUUCCGUCCUCUGAGUUUGUCAGCAGGUGCUGUAAAGGAAGUAGGGAACGAAAGAGCCCAUUCUUCUGUGGUCAGAGUUGGCAGAAGGUGGAAACGAAGGGCCGCUGAGCAGUAACAAGACCCUUCGUGCACUCAGCAGGUAUGUCUGGUGCCAGGCCGUAGCCUGCGUUCCAUGGGUUAGCGUCAAACUGGGCAGGCAAACACCUGCCCCUGUGAGGCUCCCCCAGACAGCCUGUGCUGUAGAGCUUGCUGCGUGGAGGUGUUCUCUCUGCCAUCCAGGAUUGUGGCCACUGAGUGCUUGAAAUGUAGCUGGGAGGUGCAGGAGCGGAGCUUUUGCUCUUGUUUACUUUUAAUCGUGUGUGUUCACAUAGAGUGAAUUGGGCUGUGCUGCUCUGGAGACAGACAAGGGAGCAGGAUGUCAGGUGGUGAAGGAACCGCAGAGAGUGGCAGCAGGGGGGAGUUGUGAGAGUGGGCAGGGGGUGGUCGGGGCGGCAGCACAGUGUGACGACGCCUGGGUAGAGCCCAGCCUCUCCACACCAGGGAGGAGCCGGUGCAGAGCUCCAGGUGGGGCGCUGUGAGGUGUCGGGUGACCAAGAGGUACAGGGCUGGGCCCCACAGGGUGUGGGGCUGCUGUCAGGGCUGUGGCUGUGGUACUGAGUGGGCAGGGCAGGGCCAGUGUGGCUCAUAAAGGCUCCUUGGGGGCUGUCGGGCUGGGCCCCUGUGGCCGGGGUGGAGGCUGUGUUAAGGGCCUGUGGGAGGGAAGGGUGCGGUUAGAUGGUGAGAGGGGUCAGAUUCUGGGUAGCUUGGAAAGUUUGGGGGCGGAAUUUGCUGACAGAUUGGAUUGGAAAAGGCAGGUGGCACGGACUCCACCAAGGGUUUUGGUCUGAGCGAGGUGUCGCUCCACGUGGUGGAAAAACGGGCUUGGGUGGGAUGAAGAUGAGGCGUUGGGUGUGGAGUACAGUUUGGCUGCCAGUUCGACAUCCAGGGGAUGUGGCUAGUGGGCAUUGGACAGUGGGGACAUGGACUUGGGAGGCGUGCACAUGUGGACGGUGCUUAAAACUGGACGACGAGGGAGUAAGAGGCAGAGGGGGGCUGGGUAGGGGGCUUGGCACUCAGAUGCUGGGAGCAUGGGCUGGGGAGGAGGCGGCAGGGCCUUCAGGAGUCAGUGAAGCCGCUGUUUCCAGACAGUACUAGAAGGGCCUGUGUGUGCCACUCUGGGUCAGUUCGAGAUGAGGCCUGAGAACAGAUGGUACAUCUCACAGUGUGGGGUUCUUGGUGACCCUGAGAAGGGAGCUUGUCAGGGAGGAAAGGAGACAGAAGCCUUAACAGUGGGCUCAAGGAGAGGACACACCGAACAG